rnacentral:rRNA from 1 species
GAUGAACGCUGGCGGCGUGCUUAACACAUGCAAGUCGAACGGAAAGGCCCAAGCUUGCUUGGGUACUCGAGUGGCGAACGGGUGAGUAACACGUGGGUGAUCUGCCCUGCACUUCGGGAUAAGCCUGGGAAACUGGGUCUAAUACCGGAUAGGACGAUGGUUUGGAUGCCAUUGUGGAAAGUAUUUUCGGUGUGGGAUGAGCUCGCGGCCUAUCAGCUUGUUGGUGGGGUAAUGGCCUACCAAGGCGUCGACGGGUAGCCGGCCUGAGAGGGUGUACGGCCACAUUGGGACUGAGAUACGGCCCAGACUCCUACGGGAGGCAGCAGUGGGGAAUAUUGCACAAUGGGCGCAAGCCUGAUGCAGCGACGCCGCGUGGGGGAUGACGGCCUUCGGGUUGUAAACUCCCUUCGCUAGGGACGAAGCGUUUUUGUGACGGUACCUGGAGAAGAAGCACCGGCUAACUACGUG